rnacentral:rRNA from 1 species
UACGUAGGGGGCAAGCGUUGUCCGGAAUCAUUGGGCGUAAAGAGCGUGUAGGCGGCUUGGUAAGUCCGCUGUGAAAGUCCAGGGCUCAACCCUGGAAAGCCGGUGGAAACUGUCAAGCUUGAGUCCGGAAGAGGCGAGUGGAAUUCCUGGUGUAGCGGUGAAAUGCGCAGAUAUCAGGAGGAACAUCAAUGGCGAAGGCAGCUCGCUGGGACGGUACUGACGCUGAGACGCGAAAGCGUGGGGAGCAAACAGG